rnacentral:RNase_P_RNA from 8 species
GAGGAAAGUCCGGGCUCCAUAGGGCAGGGUGCCAGGUAACGCCUGGGGGGGAAACCCACGACCAGUGCAACAGAGAGCAAACCGCCGAUGGCCCACGUAAGUGGGAUCAGGUAAGGGUGAAAGGGUGCGGUAAGAGCGCACCGCGCGGCUGGUAACAGUCCGUGGCACGGUAAACUCCACCCGGAGCAAGGCCAAAUAGGGGUUCAUAAGGUACGGCCCGUACUGAACCCGGGUAGGCUGCUUGAGCCAGUGAGCGAUUGCUGGCCUAGAUGAAUGACUGUCCACGACAGAACCCGGCUUA